UGGAAGUAUUUAACGAUCUUGACUGGCUUCGUACGGUCGACUCAGUGCCUGAAGGCGUUUGGUUAGCAUUUAAAUGAUUUUGUUGUUGUCAAACUGGAACGGCGAGAUCAUUUUGGUUUUGCUGGAAUGAUUUCGUUUAUGACUAUAAUUGUUAUUUGGUUGCAGCCUACUUCCUUCAGCCCGCUUACCACGAGGAUGGAGUACUGGUAGAUGGGUCUCGGACAUAGUAAUAAAGAUGACAGGAAACUUUAUCGGGACCAAAGUCGUAAAACAGUGUUUUGCGGUCCAUUAUCCAACACCUACGAUACAGACCCUCAAAUGUCAGUCGGCAUACUUAGUUCCCCAUAAUGGGUGUCAUGAUCAUAUGCUAACGGAGGUAUUACACAAAACAACAAGUUUAAAGUAGUGUGUCGU
rnacentral:lncRNA from 1 species